rnacentral:rRNA from 1 species
UACGUAGGGGGCAAGCGUUGUUCGGAAUUACUGGGCGUAAAGGGCGCGUAGGCGGUCCGCUAAGUCGAAUGUGAAAACUCUGGGCUUAACCCAGAGCCUGCAUUCAAUACUGGCGGGCUAGAGUUCUGGAGGGGAUAGCGGAAUUCCUGGUGUAGCGGUGAAAUGCGUAGAUAUCAGGAGGAACACCGGUGGCGAAGGCGGCUAUCUGGACAGAGUCUGACGCUGAGGCGCGAAAGCUAGGGGAGCAAACAGG